GAGAAAUCAGCAAAAGAUACAGACCUUCACAAUCAAACUGGUCAGAGAUGUCCAGCCCGUCCAUCAUCCUCAAGAUACACAAACAGAAGUUGGCGUCAAAUGUAUCACUGAAGAAAAGCAAGAGAAGAUGAGAGAACUUUCCCUCCAGUUUGACUUGAAGCCAAGGACCAGAGUGUUGGGCUUCAGCUUGCCAAGACCAGAGGCCUUUGAACAAAAAGCAUAAAAGCCAUCCUACAGGUCUCCAGAGAUGUUGGCACCAGACAGGAUGCCAAUAGCAGAGGGAAAGAAAAUGGCAAACAUCUGGAAAAAGUUG